rnacentral:tRNA from 1 species
GGUGGCUCAGUGGUAGAGUGCUUGCCUUGCAUGCCUGCGGCCCUGGGUUCGAUUCCCAGCACCA